UGAUGCAGUGACGCGUUUGAGGGAUGAAAAGCUUCUGUUAGUAACAUCUUUCAGUAGUGAAGAUAGCGAAGUGACUGUACGUGCAGAAGAAGCAACGCCUAACUACGUGCCAGCAGCCGCGGUAAUAAAUAGGGUGCGAGCGUUAUCUUGUAAUGAAUUUGUGUAAAGAAAUCGUACGCGGUUUGUUUCGUUAGUCGUGAAAGUACAGCCGCUUAACUCCAGCAUUUGCGGGUGGGUACGGACAGACUAGAGUGCAGUAGGAGAGAGAAAAAUUCAUUGUGUAGCGGUGGAAUGAGCAGAUAUCAGGAGGAACACACAUCGCGAAGGCAGGUCUCUUGGUUGUAACUGACGGUGAGGAGGGAAAGCAUGGGGAGGGAACAAGCUUAGAUAGCCUCCUAGUCCAUGCCGUAAACGAUGGGCACUAGGUGUGGGGACCAUUCCUUCGUUUCCGCGCCGCAGAAAAUGCAUCAAGUACCCCUCCUCGGGAGGACGGCCGCAAGGAUAAAACUCAAAGGAAUAAACGGGGGGCCGCACAAGCGGCGGAGCAUGCGGAUUAAUUAUAUGCAACGAGAAGAACCUCCCCAACGCUUGACAUGUUCUUUAUACCAGCAGAGAUACGGUUUCUCUUUUUGGGGGGGUUCACAGCUGGUGCAUGGUUGUUGUCAGCUGGUGUCGUGAGAUGUUGGGUUAAGUCCUGCAACGAGCGCAACCCUCGUUCCUUGUUGCCAGCAUGUAUUGGUGGGGACUCAUGGGAGACUGCCGGGGUCAAAUCGGAGGAAGGUGAGGACGACGUCAAAUCAUCAUGCCCCUUAUGUCUUGGGCUUCACGCAUGCUACAAUGGCCGGUACAAUGGGUUGCGAUACUGUGAGGUGGAGCUAAUCCCAAAAAGCCGGUCUCAGUUCGGAUUGGGGUCUGCAACUCGACCCCAUGAAGUCGGAGUCGCUAGUAAUCGCAGAUCAGCAACGCUGCGGUGAAUACGUUCCCGGGCCUUGUACACACCGCCCGUCAAGUCACGAAAGUUGUUAACACCCGAAGCUCGGUGGCGGUAACCCUUGUGGAGC
rnacentral:rRNA from 1 species